ensembl:lncRNA
CUCUACUUCCAAUACCCUGCAUCUUUGAUAUCUUUCAAGGUGGGGAUCAGUUCCUCUGUGAGGCCCUGUUCCUACAGACACCCUCUGAAGGUGUCCUGAGCACAGGCCAUCACCUUCUUUUGGAUCUCCGAGAAAACCCAGGCUAGACUCUUCAGUCAGUGUGGAAGAGAGGUGGUUGAAGCAGACCUCCUUUCCUUGGUCUGGAUCUCCAGAGGAAAGCAUUCACUCAAACACUACAAGAUGUGAUGUGACGCAAGCUGGAUAUUUCUUGGGGAUGUUCUUCAGCACAAUGAUGACGAUCCCUUCUAUCCCAAGUUGGCUGACCAUGUUUAUUGAUUUAGUUAAUUACUUAUUUAUCACGAACGGGUCUUGAAUUUUAUCAAAUGCUUUUUCUUUGUCAAAAUGGCAGGUGGUUUCUGUCCUUCAUUAUAUUAAUACACUGUUUCCCAUAACUGAAGUUAAGUUUUCUCCAAUACUGUAACCCCAGGAUAAAUCUUGCACAACCCUUCACAAAUGUUUCUUGAUUUGGCUUGAUAAUACUGUGUUGAGGGUGUAGGCAUUGCUAUUCAUGACAUAUAUGGGUCUGUAGCUUUCUGGUGAUGUCAAGUCUGACUUUGGUAGUGGGGUAACAUUGUUCUUAUAGGAUGAGUUAGGAAAUGUUCCCUCCUCCCUGCUGUCUAUUCAGGAAGAAUCUGUGAAGGAUAGGUGUUACGUCUUCUUAAAACUUUUGAUAGAUUUCACUAAUCAAACCAGGAGGCCCAGAACUUCCCUUUGUGGAAAGGUCUUUAAAUGUAUGGUUCAAUAACAUUGCUUGCUACAGGUAUAUUCAGAUUUGAUAUUUGGCCACUGCAUUUCAGCCAACUCCCAUCCAGUAUUCUCUGACCUGUUGGUUCCUAUGGCUCGGAUUCUGGCCUAGAAUUUUAUGUGUUGGACAUCUGCACAUCACAGGAUUCUGGCUACUACUCUGCAACUAGGGAGAGUAUGCUGUCUCAGAAGUGACC